rnacentral:rRNA from 1 species
UACGAAGGGGGCAAGCGUUGUUCGGAAUUACUGGGCGUAAAGGGUCCGUAGGCGGUGUGGUAAGUCGGGAGUGAAAUCUCUGGGCUUAACUCAGAGGCUGCUUCCGAAACUGCCGUGCUAGAGUGCGAGAGAGGCAAGUGGAAUUGCGGGUGUAGCGGUGAAAUGCGUAGAUAUCCGCAGGAACAUCCGAGGCGAAAGCGGCUUGCUGGAUCGCAACUGACGCUGAGGGACGAAAGCUAGGGGAGCAAACAGG